CGUGAAGAUGAAGGCAGAAACCAAACAGACACCACCACAGACAUGGGGAGCCAGAGCUCCCAAGGAGCUGGAGGACAUGGAAACACCUCCUGGUUCCUCUGGAUAGAGUGUAGCCCUGCCUAUGUCUUGGUUUUGGACUUUUGGGCCUCAGAGGGAGAUACAAAGUGUGACUGAGGAGCGCCAAUCCUGAGGUCGGGACACUGAAGCCGUGGCCUGGUCCUACAACCAAAAAGGUGCUUCCCCAGCUGGCUCCGGACAGAACCAGAAUCAGCUGUCGGAGCUCAGAUGGCUGGCCCAUGAUUAAGGUCACUGAGGAACAUGGACAGCGAAUGGAUUCCCCUCAUAAAUGAGAAGUUUGGUACUGAGCCACCUCUUGAUGGAAGCUGGGGACAUACUUCAUCCUGGGGCCUUUCUAACACUUGGAUAAAGAGGAUGCUGAGCUGAGCUGAAA